GUUUGCUUAAAAAAACAUAGUGAUUGGUAAAUUGGUGAUUCUUUUUCUACUAUUGUAUCUUCACAGAAUCACAGAUUCACAGAAUUAUCAAGGUUAGAAAAGACCUAGAAGAUCAUCCAGUCCAACCAUUACCAAUACUUCCCAAUCUUCUCAUUAGUUAAAAAUUUACUUGUGAUAUGGAAAAUGACAUAUCUAAAUAUAAGAGCUUUUCUCAGAGAUGGCUAACGAAGUCGCACAGAUAUAAAUUGGGACUAAAUCCAAGUUUAUGAAUGAAGCUUUAUUGCCAAAAGUGUCAGUGCAUGAUGAUCCUAGAGGACAAAAUUAUCCACCAGUUCCUGUUUGUGUAUCUCCAUUACCACACAUCAAGACAGACAACAGUUAGUAGCUACUAAAGGAAGUACCACAUUUGACCAUUACUAUGACAAUUUAAAGCAAUAGCUGAAGACGCUGCAUUAGGAAUCUGAAAGAGUCCCUAGACACUGUAAUGAAUUUAUUCCACACGGUAGGUAACAACUUUGUCUCUUGGCAUUUAAAUUAUAUGUAGAAGAAACAUGGACUGAAUGACACUCAGUAAAAUAAUGACAAUCUCUCAAUAUGAAAU
rnacentral:lncRNA from 1 species